AUCCUGGCUCAGGAUGAACGCUAGCUACAGGCUUAACACAUGCAAGUCGAGGGGCAGCAUGACGAUAGCUUGCUAUUGUCGAUGGCGACCGGCGCACGGGUGAGUAACGCGUAUCCAACCUUCCCGUUGCUAGGGGAUAACCUUGCGAAAGUAAGACUAAUACCCUAUGAAGUUCUUCGCAGACAUCUAAAGAGAACAAAAGAUUUAUCGGUGAUGGAUGGGGAUGCGUCUGAUUAGCUUGUUGGCGGGGUAACGGCCCACCAAGGCAACGAUCAGUAGGGGUUCUGAGAGGAAGGUCCCCCACAUUGGAACUGAGACACGGUCCAAACUCCUACGGGAGGCAGCAGUGAGGAAUAUUGGUCAAUGGGCGAGAGCCUGAACCAGCCAAGUAGCGUGCAGGACGACGGCCCUAUGGGUUGUAAACUGCUUUUAUAAGGGAAUAAAGUGAGUCUCGUGAGACUUUUUGCAUGUACCUUAUGAAUAAGGACCGGCUAAUUCCGUG
rnacentral:rRNA from 1 species